AACGUGUUACAUUUUGCAAUGUAAAUGAAACGUGUGCGGACGUUGUCUGACAACGACGACGUCGAUAAAUUUUAAGCGUCGCGCGUCGAUGGACGGCCUAUCUCAUCGAUAGCCGACCGGAGUGCGUCGCUACAAACAGAGCUCGACAGGGCACAUCGCCGUUUUCUUUCGCGUCUCCGUACGACGAUCGAUCUACGACGAUAAAGUGCCCGUCGCUCGACCGUGUUACCCUACGGGUUACCUCGACAGGGCGCAUCGCCGUUUUCUUUCGCGUCUCCGGACGACGAUCGAUCUACGACGAUAUAGUGCCCGUCGCUCGACCGUGUUAACCCACGGGGUUCAAAACACAAUUUAGCGAUGAUUGAGUUCGAUGCGACGAUUAGGUCUCGACCGCGGCGCUCGAUACUCUGUGUGUGAGACAUCUGCUAUAUAAAAUACCUGCUCCGUAUCAUCCGAUGCGUGAGCGAAUUUUGAAGGCAUCGCUUGAUGGCGUCCUUUUUAACACUGAUGAAUGCGGUGUUUGAAUCGAAUUUGUCGUUCCAUCGACGAUUCUUUUCAUGUUAAUCGCACUCGCAUUCCAGUCAGCUCGAUCACGCACUUCGUGCGAUCGUGCGAAUGACGGGCGCUCGCGUAACUGCGUCGCUCUAGAUUACGGAAUAUUGCGCCAAGACGACAGUUCAUUGGAAAGUUGUCGAAUCGCAUUUUCCACUAUCACACAAAAUCAAUACCGUUUUGAUAAAGACCGAAAGCGUAAAGCUCGAGGUGUACGAAUUGUAACUUGAAACAUAUACCAAUUUUCGAUAAACGACCCCCAUCGGUGACGUUGGCGUGCAGUCGAUCGAAAGCCGGUAAAAUUUAUAUAUAUAAUCACCGACC
rnacentral:misc_RNA from 1 species